UGGGUUGGUCGGAUCCCUGCUUGUGCAGCGACGAUCGCUCUUUCAUCCCUUUUCAUUUUAGCUCCAAGAGCAAUAUGCCUUGGACCAAUUCGGUUGCCUGUGUUGUAUACCUACAUUGAUGGAAUUUGCUUGUCCAAUGACCCUUUUUCACCUUGUGCUGCUUACGCGGUGCGGGAUGAACCAUGCAGUGCCCUUUGUUGUCUGUUCUUGCCUUGCGUUAGCAUGAUGCAUGAAAUGGACAAUGUUGUGACGCUCGAAUUGUCGGAUACAGAACCUUAAGAGGGAAAAAUGGGUCUUUGGCCUUGAUUUGCCCAAGCUAAGCGUUCUCGCUUCUUAUGAACGACUGUCGUGCCCGUUUUGACCUGAGGAUACUUUCGGUCCGACUGGCUCAUGCGGGGAUGAUGUCGAAGAGGAAUGCUAC
rnacentral:misc_RNA from 1 species